GAUCCUGUAGCUCAGUUGGUAGAGCAAUACACUUUUAAUGUAUGGGCCCUGGGUUCGAGUCCCAGCGGGAUCA
rfam:Bacteroidetes bacterium 47-18 scnpilot_p_inoc_scaffold_33, whole genome shotgun sequence.